CGCUUAUUAAAGGGUCCAUCUGAGGAGGAGCAAGGAAACGAGGCAGACAGAAGCAGAGUUGAACUUGAGGCAAGGGGAUCGGAGCCGACAUCUGGAUAAGAGACCCGAGAUAUUCUUUGCCCAAACUUCGGAGCCUGGGCACAGUUUUGAGUCUUACUAUCAACGGGUUAAGACCGCUGUUCUGUGGUGACGUCGGCCACGGUUUUGUGACGUGUCCGCCAACUACGCCCACGACAAUGCACUCGAUCACAGUGAGCAAGACAUACCUGUGUGCAAUUCUCAGUGUAGGUCUUUUUCUACUUGCUGUCUGUGCACAACAGUCGCAAGCAGACGACAGUCUAACGGCGCUCCAAGCGACAGGACCUGUCUGUAGGGAUGUCUGGGGAAGACUACCCUCUCGACGACCGAGAGUUGCUUCAGCAGAUCUUCAGGACACCCAUCAAGCGGCAGUGGUGUCGGACGGGAAUGGCUUACAACCCCGUGCUUGGCACCUGCAUUCCUUCUCUUGCGACAAUACGCGGGAGAGACCGCGACUUCAGGGUUUGAAUCUGCCGGACACCGACAGGGAGUGAAGUACAGGACAGGCGCCAUCGGUUCAUCAAUAACUAUUCAGCGAAAUCUUUAUUCGCAUAAAAAUGAAUAAAUUGUUUUAUCUUA